CUCUAACACUGAGGGAAGUCACUACCUUGACAGGAAGUCUCAGGAGAGAAACAGACAUUAAACCACCCUGCUAAUGAAGGGCCAAAAAUACACCUUUACUCUCAACGUGUCUGAACCAGCCUCUGGGCUUUGGGGGUCAGGAAAGCAUCACCUUAGUCCCCAACCCAACCAUCCUCCCUAUGGGGGUAUUUGCACUCUGUCUCCCGACGACUCGCUUCAUUUCCUGGAAACCAUACUCUCUUACAGUUGCUCAGAAGGGUGGAUGGAUGAUGACGGUGACUCAGCUCAGCUGAUAUUUUCACUGCAGGUGGUUCCCACUGAAGUGCAGUGCAACGGCUGCCAUGCAAAGAUGCUGAAGGUCACAGAGAAGAUGAUCAAAGUGAUAAGAGAACAAACAGGACAGGGUGACAUCAACCCCACAGACACCGCAGGAACAUUCUGGCUGUUUUAAAUAAAAACGGCAGCACACUGACUGCUGAUCAGAGGCAGGGGAACAAUUCAGGCCUCAAGCGUGUGGAUACAUCAGAAGCAGCUGUAUCAGCACUAGGCCAGAUUUUCGAGCUCAUGCUAUCAUUAAUGCUGUGGUGGAUGAGUGGCGGAGAAGCUCUUUCCCUCGCUGUUCCAAAGAUCACUGCGGUGGGCAUACAGGGCGACCCUACUAAAGACCUCCUGUGCACAGAGCCCCUUAGCCACUGCCAGUUUCACAUCCCAUCAGCACUGAGCUCUCAACUAAAGGAGGAAAAACAAGAGGUCCUGCAGAUCCUUCUGCAAAUGGAGGAUGAAAAAAACCCAUUCAUUUCAGCUGCAGAGCCUCUCAUAUCAACCACUCUCGCAGCCAUGGAGUUUGCUACACCACAGGGGCAGAACAUUUCCAUUGCCAACCUGACGCUAGACACUGCGAUACAAUUUACUUUACACAAAAACUAAAAGAUUUUACUCUGGCACCCAAGGGAAGUGUAAAUUUCACAGUCAAAGCAAUGGACAAAGAUCCUCAGACUGGCCUCUAUGUUGCCUUAAACUUCAGUUUUAUUCCAGGUUAUAUACACCAGUCAUUUAAUUUAAUUAG
ensembl:lncRNA